CGCCUGGCGACUUGGCACAACCGCUGCAUUAGCUUCACCAACAACUCACAUAUAGCCGCCCCUUCAACGUCGAAGGGUCGAGCUUCCCGAGAGAACGGGACCGGACAAAGGUGUCCUCGCCAGGUAACUGGUGGGGGCGCC
rnacentral:sRNA from 1 species